AGUGAACGCUGGCGGUAGGCCUAACACAUGCAAGUCGAACGGCAGCACAGUAAGAGCUUGCUCUUACGGGUGGCGAGUGGCGGACGGGUGAGGAAUACAUCGGAAUCUACUUUUUCGUGGGGGAUAACGUAGGGAAACUUACGCUAAUACCGCAUACGACCUACGGGUGAAAGCAGGGGAUCUUCGGACCUUGCGCGAUUGAAUGAGCCGAUGUCGGAUUAGCUAGUUGGCGGGGUAAAGGCCCACCAAGGCGACGAUCCGUAGCUGGUCUGAGAGGAUGAUCAGCCACACUGGAACUGAGACACGGUCCAGACUCCUACGGGAGGCAGCAGUGGGGAAUAUCGGACAAUGGGCGCAAGCCUGAUCCAGCCAUACCGCGUGGGUGAAGAAGGCCUUAGGGUUGUAAAGCCCUUUUGUUGGGAAAGAAAAGCAGCAGGUUAAUACCCCGCUGUUCUGACGGUACCCAAAGAAUAAGCACCGGCUAACUUCGUG
rnacentral:rRNA from 1 species